GUUAUAUGGUCAAGCGAAUAAGCGCACACGGUGGAUGCCUUGGCGGUCAGAGGCGAUGAAGGACGUGGCAGCCUGCGAAAAGUAUCGGGGAGCUGGCAACAAGCUUUGAUCCGGUAAUGUCCGAAUGGGGAAACCCACCCGCUUGCGGGUAUCCUGCAGUGAAUACAUAGCUGCUGGAAGCGAACCUGGUGAACUGAAAUAUCUAAGUAACCAGAGGAAAAGAAAUCAACCGAGAUUCCGUAAGUAGCGACGAGCGAACGCGGACUAGCCCUUAAGCUGGAUUGGUUCUAGGAAAACGCUCUGGAAAGAGCGGCCAUAGAAGGUGAUAGCCCUGUAUCUGAAAGGGCCAUUCCAGUGAAGACGAGUAGGGCGGGGCACGUGAAACCCUGUCUGAACAUGGGGGGACCAUCCUCCAAGGCUAAAUACUACUGACCGACCGAUAGUGAACCAGUACCGUGAGGGAAAGGCGAAAAGAACCCCGGAGAGGGGAGUGAAAUAGAACCUGAAACCGUGUGCGUACAAGCAGUAGGAGCUCCGCAAGGAGUGACUGCGUACCUUUUGUAUAAUGGGUCAGCGACUUACUGUUCGUGGCAAGCUUAACCGUAUAGGGGAGGCGAAGGGAAACCGAGUCUGAUAAGGGCGCAUAGUCGCGGGCAGUAGACCCGAAACCGGGUGAUCUAGUCAUGCCCAGGGUGAAGGUGCGGUAACACGCACUGGAGGCCCGAACCCACUCCCGUUGCAAAGGUAGGGGAUGAGGUGUGAUUAGGAGUGAAAAGCUAAUCGAACCCGGAGAUAGCUGGUUCUCCUCGAAAGCUAUUUAGGUAGCGCCUCAUAUGUAUCCUCUCGGGGGUAGAGCACUGUUAUGGCUAGGGGGUCAUCGCGACUUACCAAACCAUUGCAAACUCCGAAUACCGAGACGGACUGUAUGGGAGACACACGGCGGGUGCUAACGUCCGUCGUGAAAAGGGAAACAACCCAGACCCACAGCUAAGGUCCCAAAUUUUGUGCUAAGUGGAAAACCAUGUGGAAAGGCACAGACAGCCAGGAGGUUGGCUUAGAAGCAGCCACCCUUUAAAGAAAGCGUAAUAGCUCACUGGUCGAGUCGGUCUGCGGGGAAGAUUUAACGGGGCUAAGCACAGAACCGAAGCUUGGGGUGCAUAACUUUGUUAUGCGCGGUAGAGGAGCGUUCCGUAAGCCGUUGAAGGUGGAUUGAGAAGUCUGCUGGAGGUAUCGGAAGUGCGAAUGCUGACAUGAGUAACGAUAAUGCGGGUGAAAAACCCGCACGCCGAAAGCCCAAGGUUUCCUUGCGCAACGUUAAUCGGCGCAGGGUGAGUCGGCCCCUAAGGCGAGGACGAAAGUCGUAGUCGAUGGGAAGCAGGUUAAUAUUCCUGCACCUCGCGUAAGUGCGAUGGAGGGACGGAGAAGGUUAGGUGUACCAGGCGUUGGUUGUCCUGGGGAAAGGCGGUAGGUUUGGAUCUUUGGCAAAUCCGGGAUCCUCUAAGACCGAGCACCGAGACGAGCCUUUAAGGCGAAGUCACUGAUACCACGCUUCCAGGAAAAGCUCCUAAGCUUCAGCUUACGCAGACCGUACCGUAAACCGACACAGGUGGGUAGGAUGAGAAUUCUCAGGCGCUUGAGAGAACUCGGGUGAAGGAACUAGGCAACAUGGCACCGUAACUUCGGGAGAAGGUGCACCCUUUUUGGUGGCUCGUGCGAGCUAUAGCUGAAGAGGGUCGCAGUAACCAGGCCGCUGCGACUGUUUAUCAAAAACACAGCACUCUGCAAACACGAAAGUGGACGUAUAGGGUGUGACGCCUGCCCGGUGCUGGAAGGUUAAUUGAUGGGGUCAGCCGCAAGGCGAAGCUCUUGAUCGAAGCCCCAGUAAACGGCGGCCGUAACUAUAACGGUCCUAAGGUAGCGAAAUUCCUUGUCGGGUAAGUUCCGACCUGCACGAAUGGCGUAACGACAGCGGCGCUGUCUCCACCCGAGACUCAGUGAAAUUGAAAUCGCUGUGAAGAUGCAGCGUUCCCGUGGCAAGACGGAAAGACCCCGUGAACCUUUACUAUAGCUUUACACUGAACGUUGAGUUCGUCUGUGUAGGAUAGGUGGGAGGCUAUGAAACUGUGGCGCUAGCUGCAGUGGAGCCAUCCUUGAAAUACCACCCUGUCGUGCUUGACGUUCUAACCUGGGCCCAUUAUCUGGGUCGGGGACCGUGUAUGGUGGGUAGUUUGACUGGGGCGGUCUCCUCCUAAAGAGUAACGGAGGAGCUCGAAGGUACGCUCAGCGCGGUCGGACAUCGCGCACUGUGUGCAAAGGCAUAAGCGUGCUUGACUGCAAGAUCGACGGAUCAAGCAGGUAGGAAACUAGGACUUAGUGAUCCGGUGGUUCUGUAUGGAAGGGCCAUCGCUCAACGGAUAAAAGGUACUCCGGGGAUAACAGGCUGAUACCGCCCAAGAGUUCAUAUCGACGGCGGUGUUUGGCACCUCGAUGUCGGCUCAUCACAUCCUGGGGCUGUAGUCGGUCCCAAGGGUAUGGCUGUUCGCCAUUUAAAGUGGUACGCGAGCUGGGUUCAGAACGUCGUGAGACAGUUCGGUCCCUAUCUGCCAUGGGCGUUGGAGAUUUGAGAGGGGCUGCUCCUAGUACGAGAGGACCGGAGUGGACGAACCUCUGGUGUUCCGGUUGUCACGCCAGUGGCAUUGCCGGGUAGCUAUGUUCGGAAGCGAUAACCGCUGAAAGCAUCUAAGCGGGAAGCGCGCCUCAAGAUGAGAUCUCCCGGGGCACAAGCCCCCUGAAGGAACCAUGUAGACUACGUGGUUGAUAGGUCAGGUGUGUAAGUACAGCAAUGUAUUGAGCUAACUGAUACUAAUGAUCCGUGCGGCUUGACCAUAUAACCU
rnacentral:rRNA from 1 species